rnacentral:lncRNA from 1 species
AUAGCAAAUAGUUUAUUGGUAAGUACAUAGUUUCAAUGGGAGUAAUAAAUUCACAUGAGCAGGAGACAAUAAUCAAGUCAAAAGAAUAAAUGCUUACUAAUCAUCAGAAAAUCUGUGGCCAUUAAGGCUGGCACAUAAAAAUCCAAAAUCACUCAGAGGCCGAAUCUUAAAAGAAGAUUCGUCCUCUUAUUAGUUCAUAUGGAAUAGGUCCAUAGUAACUGGAAUCUGUAGAAUUCUGUAGAUUUAUCACCUUCUAACCAAACAUGACCCACUGGGACAUAACUGUAGCUUUUAAAGAAAUCUGAUGGACUAGUGGUGAGGAUUUUGUCUCCUUCCAAACCAGUUACUCUUUUACAAAUAUUUGAUGUUGGAUCACUUGGGCUUUUUGCAAUCACAAUGAAUCCUCGGGUCCCAAAGAACCCUGAGGACCCUCAACCAGGACACAGGUGGGCCUUUCUCACCUGGGCCCUGCAGAAGUCGAC